UAUAGGUUUGGUCCUGGCCUUUCUGUUAGUUAUCUGUAAACUUACACAUGCAAGAAUCCUCACCCCAGUGAAAAUGCCCUCCACACCAAACAAUGGUCGAAAGGAGCUGGUAUCAAGCACACUAACAAGUAGCUUACGACACCUUGCUCAGCCACACCCCCACGGGACACAGCAGUGAUAAAAAUUAAGCAAUAAACGAAAGUCUGACUAAGUUAUACUAUUAAGGACUGGUAAAUCUCGUGCCAGCCACCGCGGUCAUACGAUUAGGCCAAACUAAUGGAUACUCGGCGUAAAGCGUGUUCUAGAAAUUAAAUAAUAAAUAAAAUCAAACUUUAACUAAGCCGUAAAAAGCUUUAGAUACUGUAAGAUACAUAACGAAGGUAAUUUUAAAAAUUCUGACUACACGAUAGCUAAGACCCAAACUGGGAUUAGAUACCCCACUAUGCCUAGCUUUAAACAUAAAAAAUUAUAAACAAAAUUAUUCGCCAGAGUACUACUAGCAAUAGCUUAAAACUCAAAGGACUUGGCGGUGCCUUAUAUCCCUCUAGAGGAGCCUGUUCUAUAAUCGAUAAACCCCGAUCUACCUCACCAAUCUUUGCUAAAUCAGCCUAUAUACCGCCAUCUUCAGCAAACCCUAAAAAGGAAAUAAAGUAAGCAUAAGUAUAAGCAUAAGAACGUUAGGUCAAGGUGUAGCUCAUAGAUUGGAAAGAAAUGGGCUACAUUCCCCGAAUCGAGGAACUAAAAUUUAUACGAAAACCUAUGUGAAACCAAAAGUUAAAGAUGGAUUUAGCAGUAAACUAAGAAUAGAGUGCUUAGUUGAAUACGGCCAUAAGGCACGCACACACCGCCCGUCACCCUCCUCAAGUGAAUAAUAUUAUAAAUCAUAAAUAAUGUAGAAUUAUUGACCCAUGAGAGGAGAUAAGUCGUAACAAGGUAAGUGUACUGGAAAGUGCACUUGGAUAACA
rnacentral:ncRNA from 1 species